GAAAUGCGAUAAGUAAUGUGAAUUGCAGAAUUCAGUGAAUCAUCGAAUCUUUGAACGCACAUUGCGCCCCGUGGUAUUCCGCGGGGCAUGCCUGUUCGAGCGUCAGUACAACACUCAAGCUCUGCUUGGUAUUGGGCCCCGUCCGUCUGGACCGGCCUUAAAAUCAGUGGCGGUGCCAUCGGGCUCUAAGCGUAGUAAUACUCCUCGCUACAGGGCCCCGGUGCGUGCUGGCCAGCAACCCCCAACUUUCUAAGUUUGACCUCGGAUCAGGUAGGGAUACCCGCUGAACUUAA
rnacentral:misc_RNA from 1 species